GGUAGCGUGGCCGAGCGGUCUAAGGCGCUGGUUUACGCGCAACUGGAGGCGUGGGUUCGAAUCCCACCGCUCCCA